CUGCCAGUUAGAUAAAAUCUGCUCAACUUUUUUAAGUGUUUUGCAGAGAUUUAAAAAUAUUGCUGGCAAUAACAAAGCCAGGGCACGAGCCUUGAAGACUUAAAUAGUCGUUGAGGUCCCAAUAAAUGGCUACAUUU